GGCUUGGUAAUUGGAAUGAGGGAGAGUUAAACGGACCAUCGAGUAUCCAUUGGAGGGCAAGUCUGGUGCCAGCAGCUGCGGUAAUACCAGCUCCAAUAGCGUAUAUUAAAGCUGUUGCAGUUAAAAAGCUCGUAGUUGGACUUGUGUGCGCUGUCCGCGGGUGGCUUGCGCCCAAAAGGGCGUUUCGGUUCGGCCCCGGUGGCGCCUUGAAAUCUGCAGCUGGGGGGACGUUGGCCUUAACUGGUCGGCGACCGCACGCCGGCUGCUCGGUUACUGUGAGAAAAUUAGAGUGUUCAAGGCAGGCAUUGGGUGCAAUUGAAUACAUUAGCAUGGAAUAAUAAAAUAUGGCUCCUGCCGUAUUUUGCUGGUUUUGACUGGUGGGAGUAAUGAUUGAUAGGGACGGUUGGGGGUGCUAGUAUUGAGUGGCCAGAGGUGAAAUUCAUGGAUUCGCUCAAGACUAACUUAUGCGAAAGCAUUCACCAAGGACGUCCUCUUUAAUCAAGAACGAAAGUUGGGGGAUCGAAGACGAUCAGAUACCGUCGUAGUCUCAACCAUAAACUAUGUCGACUUGGGAUCGGCGGUAGUUUUUUCAUUAAGACACUGUCGGGACCACGGGAGAAAUCAAAGUGUCUGGACUCUGGGGGAAGUAUGGUCGCAAGGCUGAAACUUGAAGGAAUUGACGGAAGGGCACCACCAGGAGUGGAGCCUGCGGCUUAAUUUGACCCAACACGGGGAAACUUACCAGGUCCAGAGAUGUAGAGGAUUGACAGAUUGAAGCUCUUUCUUGAUCACUUCGGUGGUGGUGCAUGGCCGUUCUUAGUUGGUGGAGUGAUUUGUCUGGUUAAUUCCGUUAACGAACGAGACCUCAGCCUGCUAGUGUAGUCGGCUGGAUUGCCUUUGGCGAUCCGUGAUUUCGACUUCUUAGAGGGACAAUCGACGCGCAGUCGAUGGAAGUUUGAGGCAAUAACAGGUCUGUGAUGCCCUUAGAUGUUCUGGGCCGCACGCGCGCUACACUGCUGGGCUCAGCGAGUUUUACUUGGCCGAGAGGCCCGGUUAAUCUUGUGAAAUCCCAGCGUGCUUGGGCUCGCCUCCUGCAACUGGAGGCGCCAACGAGGAAUUCCUAGUAGACGCAGGUCAUCAACCUGCAUCGAUUACGUCCCUGCCCUUUGUACACACCGCCCGUCGUUCCAUAAGAGUGAGGCAUCCGGUGAAUUCUCGGGAGAGCCUGGGCGUGGCCAGCAAUGGUCUGCUCGGGUUUGAACUUGCAUAAACUUGGUGCCUAUGAUUAGGG
rnacentral:rRNA from 1 species